rnacentral:rRNA from 1 species
UGGGGAAUUUUGCACAAUGGGGGAAACCCUGAUGCAGCGACGCCGCGUGAUUUAGAAGGACUUCGGGUUGUAAAAAUCUUUUCUAUGGGAAGAAAAUGACAGUACCAUAGGAAUAAGGACCGGCUAAUUACGUGCCAGCAGCAGCGGUAAUACGUAAGGUCCGAGCGUUGUCCGGAAUCAUUGGGCGUAAAGGGUACGUAGGCGGGUAAGCAAGUUAGAAGUGAAAUCCUAUAGCUCAACUAUAGUAAGCUUUUAAAACUGCUCAUCUUGAGGUAUGGAAGGGAAAGUGGAAUUCCUAGUGUAGCGGUGAAAUGCGCAGAUAUUAGGAGGAAUACCGGUGGCGAAGGCGACUUUCUGGCCAUAACCUGACGCUGAGGUACGAAAGCGUGGGUAGCAAACAGG